UACGUAGGGGGCGAGCGUUGUCCGGAGUUACUGGGCGUAAAGCGCACGCAGGCGGUCUGCUAAGUUUGGAGUGACAGUUGGUGGCUUAACUGCCAAAGUGCUUCGAAAACUGACAGACUUGAGGGCUUCAGAGGGACACGGAAUUCCGGGUGGAGUGGUGAAAUGCGUAGAUAUCAGGAGGAACACCGGUGGCGAAGGCGCACAUCUGGCCCGAUACUGACGCUGAGGCGCGAAAGCUAGGGGAGCAAACGGG
rnacentral:rRNA from 1 species